rnacentral:rRNA from 1 species
CGUUGUUGCAGUUAAAAAGCUCGUAGUUGAAGUGAGGGAGUGUGUGUUCAUGAGAGCUAGUCUCGAGUGUUCCCAACCUCCCCCCUCCAAUCGGUGUAGUGGGGUAUUCAGUUAUUUCACUACUCCUUUGGUCGUUUACUGUGAGAAAAUUAGAGUGUUCAAAGCGGGCGUUUGUUUGAAUAGAUUAGCAUGGAAUAAUGAUUGAAGGCUUUCGUGUUCGAUUGGAUUGGUUUGUUCAUGGAAGCAAGGUUAAAAGGAACAGUUGGGGGUAUUCAUAUUCACUAGUUAGAGGUGAAAUUCUCGGAUUUAUGGAAGAUGAACAGGUGCGAAAGCAUUUACCAAGGAUGUUUUCAUUAAUCA